AGGAGGAAGGAAUGGGCAACGGUAGGUCAGCAUGCCCCGAAUUAUCUGGGCUACACGCGGGCUACAAUGGGUGGGACAAUGGGUAUCGACACCGAAAGGUGAAGGCAAUCUCCUAAACCCAUCCGUAGUUCGGAUUGUGGGCUGCAACUCGCCCACAUGAAGCUGGAAUCUGUAGUAAUCGUGUCUCAAAAUGGCACGGUGAAUAUGUCCCUGCUCCUU
rnacentral:rRNA from 1 species